GUGCUUGCUUUGACAGCACAUAUACUAAAAAACUGGAAUGAUACAGAGAAGAUUAGCAUGGCCCCUGUGCAAGGAUGACAUACAAAUUCAUGAAGCAUUCCAUUAAAAA